CCUACGGGUGGCAGCAGUGAGGAAUAUUGGUCAAUGGACGAAAGACUGAACCAGCCAAGUAGCGUGAAGGAUGACUGCCCUAUGGGUUGUAAACUUCUUUUAUACGGGAAUAAAAUGCUUCACGUGUGCUGUUUUGUAGGUACCACAUGAAUAAGGACCGGCUAAUUCCGUGCCAGCAGCCGCGGUAAUACGGAGGGUCCGGGCGUUAUCCGGAUUUAUUGGGGUUAAAGGGAGCGUAGGCGGGAUGUUAAGUCAGCCGUGAAAGGCUGGGGCUCAACCAUCGAACUGCGGUGGAAACUGGCGGUCUUGAGUGCGCGAGAAGUAGGCGGAAUUCGUGGUGUAGCGGUGAAAUGCUUAGAUAUCACGAAGAACGCCGAUUGCGAAGGCAGCAUACGGGAGUGCUACUGACGCUGAGGCUCGAAGGUGCGGGGAUCGAACAGGAUUAGAUACCCUGGUAGUC
rnacentral:rRNA from 1 species